GGGAAAAAUGAGGACUAUUUUUGUGGUUUUAUUAUUAUAUUUUAAUAUUAAACAUUAUACUUAACACAUUUUUACAAAAAUUAAAUUUGUACCAUAUCUCACUAAUGAAAUAAAUGUGGGUUACAUUUGUCCCACUACCUCUCUAGAUGUUAAAUAUAAGUGGGUUAUAUUUGUCCCACUGGUCACUUUCAAGGCCACUCCUGUUUAUCCCUUUAUAAGGCAAAAAGAACUGACUUGUGAGACAUAUACAAUUUAUUCUGAUGUAAUGUACUAAUAAUGUACAUAAUUUCCGACUAAUAAAACAAACAGUAUUAAAAAAUUUUUAUUAAUUAUUAAAAUAAAUGUGGGUUAUUUUUAUCCCACUGACAAGUUGUAUAUCAAAAAGAGCAUAUCGAUUUGUUUCAACUGUUAGUAACUGUAUAAUUUCACGAUCAAAAUAUAGCGAAAAUGCAUCAAGUGGUGUUAAUGAGUUUACCCCAUAUAGGAUCUACAGUUUCAGGAAUUUUAAUAAUAAUUUCUGGAAGAGAUUUCAUCCAUUCAUUUAUAUCUAUAUUUUCAGUAGGCCUAUCAUUCAUCACUUCUUUAUUACCAGAGGUAGUUUUGCUUGUUCUCUUUCUUUUUUUUUCUUAUAAGAUGAUUUUUGUUUUUUUGUACUAGUUCAUGGUACACUUUCUGGUACUCUUGGUUCAUCCAGGAAGGAAUCUUGAUCUUCAGGAAGUAAUUCUUGCACAAAAUUCUCAUCUAAGUCAUCUGAACUAUAUUCAUCAUCACUAUCAUAAGUGUUAUUUGGAAGACUAUAUAAAUGCUCUAAAAUAUCUUUUGAUUGUAAAGACUUUAUACCUAAUCAGCAAAUUAUUAGAUAUAUGAAAUCAGUUAUUUUCGCAAAUAAUAAUACUAUAUUCUCAGAUAAUAUAUAGAAUAAAAGUAAUUAAAAAUAAAUUUCAUUGAAAU
rnacentral:lncRNA from 1 species